UACGUAGGAGGCAAGCGUUGUCCGGAAUCACUGGGCGUAAAGCGCGUGUAGGUGGUGCGACAAGUCUGCUGUGAAAGCGCCUGGCUUAACCGGGCGAGGUCGGUGGAAACUCCUCAUCUGGAGGGCGGUAGAGGGGGGUGGAAUUCCGGGUGUAGUGGUGAAAUGCGUAGAGAUCCGGAGGAACACCUGUGGCGAAAGCGGCUCACUGGACCACAACUGACGCUGAGGUGCGAAAGCGUGGGGAGCAAACAGG
rnacentral:rRNA from 1 species